GACGAACGCUGGCGGCGUGCUUAACACAUGCAAGUCGAACGGAAAGGCCCUGCUUUUGUGGGGUGCUCGAGUGGCGAACGGGUGAGUAACACGUGAGUAACCUGCCCUUGACUUUGGGAUAACUUCAGGAAACUGGGGCUAAUACCGGAUAGGAGCUCCUGCUGCAUGGUGGGGGUUGGAAAGUUUCGGCGGUUGGGGAUGGACUCGCGGCUUAUCAGCUUGUUGGUGGGGUAGUGGCUUACCAAGGCUUUGACGGGUAGCCGGCCUGAGAGGGUGACCGGCGACAUUGGGACUGAGAUACGGCCCAGACUCCUACGGGAGGCAGCAGUGGGGACUAUUGCACAAUGGGAGGAAGCCUGAUGCAGCAACGCCGCGUGCGGGAUGACGGCCUUCGGGUUGUAAACCGCUUUCGCCUGUGACGAAGCGUGAGUGACGGUAAUGGGUAAAGAAGCACCGGCUAACUACGUG
rnacentral:rRNA from 1 species